rnacentral:rRNA from 1 species
ACGCGAAGAACCUUACCCAGGCUUGAACUGCGAGUGACCAGCGAUGAAAGUCGCCUUCCGCAAGGACACUCGUAGAGGUGCUGCAUGGCUGUCGUCAGCUCGUGUCGUGAGAUGUUGGGUUAAGUCCCGCAACGAGCGCAACCCUUGUCCUCUGUUGCCAUCACGUAAUGGUGGGCACUCUGGGGAGACUGCCGGUGAUAAACCGGAGGAAGGUGGGGAUGACGUCAAGUCAGCAUGGCCUUUAUGUCUGGGGCUACACACGUGCUACAAUGGCCGGUACAAAGCGUCGCGAGCCCGCGAGGGGGAGCUAAUCGCAGAAAGCCGGUCUCAGUUCGGAUCGUAGGCUGCAACUCGCCUGCGUGAAGUCGGAAUCGCUAGUAAUCGCGGAUCAGCACGCCGCGGUGAAUACGUUCCCGGGCCUUGUA